rnacentral:rRNA from 1 species
AACGGCUGGCGGCGUGCUUAACACAUGCAAGUCGAACGAGAAUCUACAGAUCGAGGAUUCGUCCAAGUGAAGUAGAGGACAGUGGCGACGGGUGAGUAACGCGUGAGGAACCUGCCUUUCAGAGGGGGGACAACAGUUGGAAACGACUGCUAAUACCGCAUGACACAUUGGGGUCGCAUGGCUCUGAUGUCAAAGAUUUAUCGCUGAAAGAUGGCCUCGCGUCUGAUUAGCUAGUUGGUGAGGUAACGGCCCACCAAGGCGACGAUCAGUAGCCGGACUGAGAGGUUGACCGGCCACAUUGGGACUGAGAUACGGCCCAGGCUCCUACGGGAGGCAGCAGUGGGGAAUAUUGGGCAAUGGGCGCAAGCCUGACCCAGCAACGCCGCGUGAAGGAAGAAGGCUUUCGGGUUGUAAACUUCUUUUGUCAGGGACGAGUAGAAGACGGUACCUGACGAAUAAGCCACGGCUAACUACGUG